UGGAGGAUUUUGUGAACAGCUGGCUAGCUAACAAAGGUCACACUGACAUAAUACCGUUAGUUAGGGAUGAAGGAGACGAGGAUAGGAGUCAGCAGUCAGUGUCCAAACCUGGCAAGGGCACUGUGCCCUUGGUGCAACAUCAGGAUGUGGGAGAGGAUCGUUAGUUAGAAACAUGAAGAAAAUAUGUAAACAGCUGCAGCAUAGUAGCCUCAAGAAUGAUAAGGUAGGCGUAGUUAGCUGAUAAGUAACUAACCAAUAAUGAGCUCGCUUUUUGCAAUAUGUAUUAGCCUCAUUAACACCAAUAUAAAUGUAUGUGCCUAUCAAUAAAGUUUUGAGAUUUGCUGAUCACUCAUAUUGAGUGCUGCAUUUCUUCCGCCGAUUACCACAAAUGGUGACCCCGGACGUUAAAUCGGUAACGGCAACCACGGUGGAUCGGUGAAGGAGUUCGGGUCCUACAGCAGCAAGGACGGCGAAUAAGCACUGCUGAAAAAGCGAAAAGUGCCGCGCCCUGGGUGACCUUAUAGAAGAGCCCGGCCGAUACGUGCUGCCGAGACCUUGAAGGGCUGCAAAAACGUCGACGUUCUCAAAAAUGGAAAUGGAAAUGGAAAUGGAAAGGUGCAAAAUCCAGAUGGAUUUCAAUGAAGAAUGUGAAACUUUAUCAAGAGCAAGAGAAACGUUGACCAUUCAACAAGCAAAGAAGACAGACACUGGACUGUGUGAUGCAGGGCAGUGUCCGGAGACGAGACCUUAACCUCCCUAUACAGCUGACAGUUUGGUGUGGAACUAAAUACUUACUAGGUGCACUUACUCAGCAAAACAGAAAAACGGGGGAGGUGUGGGCCUUGGAAUGGAUAUCUCCUCCACUUCAACAGCAUAAAACCCUUCUUCAAAAGAUUGAAAUUUUGGCUGAGUUGCUCAAAAAGGGUCGUGAACGAACACUACAGAUCAUGGGAAAGGAGCCUGAUCAGAUACGGGUACCAAUGAAGAAAGACACAUUGACCUGGUACCUGAUAAACAGUAUGGAAUUACAAGAGGCACUGUUGGGAGCUGGAAGUGUGAUUGCCACUGAUGAUAUCCCCAAUAUACCGUUGAAUUGGAUAGGGCAAUGGGGUUGGAUUCAAUGCCCAAAAAGGUCACAGAAACCCCUGUCGGAUGCUGUAACAGCCUACACGGAUGCAGGAAGAAAAUCCAGAAUUGCUGCAGUGACCUGGCAGGAAAAGGGACAAUGGCACCAUCAGAUUCUCCAGGCCUCCGAGUUGGAUACUUUACAAACAUGGAGUUAUUGGCUGUUGUUUGGGCCAUGAUGCAUUUUUCUGGGCCUCUCAAUAUAGUGACAGAUUCUUUAUAUGUCGCUGGAGUAUGCGAGCGAAUAGAAGAUGCCUCUAUAAAAGAAGUUCAGAACAGGAGGUUACAUGAGCUGUUUAUACAGUUACAGAGGGCAAUUAAGCUGAGAAAGUAUCCUUUCUCUGUCAUUCAUAUCAGAAGUCAUAAGUGGGAUAUUGGUCUGGGAGAGGGUAAUGCACGAGCAGAUAAGCUAGUCUCAAUCACACAUGUGACUCCAAUUCCCAGGCAGACUUUGGCCAGAGAGGCACACUCCAUGUUUCACCAAAAUGCAAAAGGCCUCCAUAGAAAAUUUCAGAUAUCUCUGGAAGAGGCACGGGCAAUAGUCAAAGCCUGUCCCAUAUGUAGUCAUCAUAACGGGGGCUGUGGGUUAGGUCUAGGAGUUAACCCCAGAGGGCUGAAUACAAACGAGACCUGGCAAAUGAAUGUCACACAUGUUGCUGAGUUUGGAAGGAUAAAGUAUGUGCAUGUUACUAUAGACACCUACAGUCAUUUUAUAUGGGCCACAGCACAAACUGGUGAGAAAGCAGGGCACGUGGAGAGGCAUCUCAGUAGCUGCUUUGCUGUAAUGGGAGUGCCACGACAUAUUAAGACAGACAAUGGACCUGCCUACAGCAGCAAAAGAAUAAAACAGUUCAUGCAAAUGUGGGGGAUUGAACACGUGACAGGCAUCCCUAAUUCCCCGACAGGACAAGCGAUUGUAGAGAGAGCUAAUGGUACUUUGAAAAAAUAUCUAGGUAAAUACAAAGAUAUUAGAGAGCCGCAAGAGAGGUUGCUAAAGUGUCUAUUUGUCUUAAAUCACCUGUGUGUUUUUGGGGAAAGCAAAGUUCCUGCUGUAAUUCGUCAUUAUGUAACAGAGAAAGAUAGUGUGAAGCAGAACGUAUGGGUAAAAUAUAGAGAUCCCAAGACAGGACAAUGGCAAGGUCCUGCUAAGGUAUUAUACUGGGGCCGCGGGUAUCUUUGUGUUUCUACCCCUACAGGAUCCUUGUGGGUACCUGCUAAAUGGACCCGAGCAGCUGUGUUAGAUGGAACCAGACCCCAGACAACUGAGCGAAGAGGACGGUCGGCGAGUGGAGGCAAAGCUGCUGAUCACCAUUUGACUGAUAGUUCUCAAGCUGAAAGGACAGUGUAGCUUUGCCAUUGACCGAGUGAUUGAUCGGUGUCAAUCUCUGGACUGUAUACUAAGCCUGAUUCCGGCGCUUCAUACGUUUUAUUAUAGAGGGCCUAAGAGAUUAGCUUGUAUUAAGUGUCAAAAUACUCAGUGUGCUGCAUGGAUAUUGUUCUUUUGCGGGGGGUGUCAGCAGCAGGUGCCCAUGCCAUUUUAAACAAGCUAGGAUGCUGGCUUGCUAAACAAACUAAUGCCACUUCUUUAGCACUUUCUAGCCUUUUGCUUGAUGUUGAUUCUAUUCGCCAUGCAACGCUUCAGAAUAGAGCUGCAAUUGAUUUCCUUUUACUGGCACAAGACCAUGGUUGUGAAGAAUUUGAGGGCAUGCAUUGCAUGAACCUCUCUGAUCAUUCCCAGUCCAUUCACUCCCAGCUCUCUGAGCUGCGAAGGUUAGCUGGAAAUCUACAAGUAGAAUCGGGCUCUGGCAUUGAUGAAUGGCUCAAAUCAUUAGGCUUGGGAUCAUGGUUGCGCUCUAUUGUUAGAGUCAUCAUUACAGUAGGCAUUAUAGCUUUGUUACUAGUGUUAGUUUUGCCUUGUUUUUGCAUGUGCUUACAGAACAUGGUUCAAAGAAUGAUAUUUGCUGCAUCUAAUCAGACUAUGCUUGUGCAACAGAAAAACAGGGGAAGUGUGGAGGAUUUUGUGAACAGCUGGCUAGCUAACAAAGGUCACACUGACAUAAUACCGUUAGUUAGGGAUGAAGGAGACGAGGAUAGGAGUCAGCAGUCAGUGUCCAAACCUGGCAAGGGCACUGUGCCCUUGGUGCAACAUCAGGAUGUGGGAGAGGAUCGUUAGUUAGAAACAUGAAGAAAAUAUGUAAACAGCUGCAGCAUAGUAGCCUCAAGAAUGAUAAGGUAGGCGUAGUUAGCUGAUAAGUAACUAACCAAUAAUGAGCUCGCUUUUUGCAAUAUGUAUUAGCCUCAUUAACACCAAUAUAAAUGUAUGUGCCUAUCAAUAAAGUUUUGAGAUUUGCUGAUCACUCA